rnacentral:rRNA from 1 species
UUACGGCCAUAUCUCGAUGAAACCCUGGUUUUGUACGAUCACCAAAGUUAAGCAACGUCGAGCCUGGACAGUACCUAGAUGGGUGACCACUUGGGAAUACCAGGUGCUGUAA